CUUCUUUUUCCACCGGAGCUUGCUCCACCGGAAAAAGAGGAGUGGCGAACGGGUGAGUAACACGUGGGUAACCUGCCCAUCAGAAGGGGAUAACACUUGGAAACAGGUGCUAAUACCGUAUAACAAUCGAAACCGCAUGGUUUUGAUUUGAAAGGCGCUUUCGGGUGUCGCUGAUGGAUGGACCCGCGGUGCAUUAGCUAGUUGGUGAGGUAACGGCUCACCAAGGCCACGAUGCAUAGCCGACCUGAGAGGGCGAUCGGCCACAUUGGGACUGAGACACGGCCCAAACUCCUACGGGAGGCAGCAGUAGGGAAUCUUCGGCAAUGGACGAAAGUCUGACCGAGCAACGCCGCGUGAGUGAAGAAGGUUUUCGGAUCGUAAAACUCUGUUGUUAGAGAAGAACAAGGAUGAGAGUAACUGUUCAUCCCUUGACGGUAUCUAACCAGAAAGCCACGGCUAACUACGUGCCAGCAGCCGCGGUAAUACGUAGGUGGCAAGCGUUGUCCGGAUUUAUUGGGCGUAAAGCGAGCGCAGGCGGUUUCUUAAGUCUGAUGUGAAAGCCCCCGGCUCAACCGGGGAGGGUCAUUGGAAACUGGGAGACUUGAGUGCAGAAGAGGAGAGUGGAAUUCCAUGUGUAGCGGUGAAAUGCGUAGAUAUAUGGAGGAACACCAGUGGCGAAGGCGGCUCUCUGGUCUGUAACUGACGCUGAGGCUCGAAAGCGUGGGGAGCAAACAGG
rnacentral:rRNA from 1 species